ACAACUCAGUUGGCAUUCAAGUAGAUGAUCCGAACGAACUGAAUAUUUGUGAUACCUGUCAUAAAAGGAAAUAUUCUGAAUACUGUCAUUGUGAAUGUACAAAAAAUGUUAAACACAUUUUAUUGCCGAUGCAUGAAGAAUCACCUCCAUCUGUUGAAGGACCAUCGUAUGUUGAAAGACCUUCAUCUGUUGAAAGACCAUCUUCUGUUGAAAGACUAUCAUCUGUUAAAAGACCACCUCCUGUUAAAAGACCACCACUUGUUAAAAAACCACCAUCUGUUGAAGAACCAACAUCUGUUGAAGGAUCACCAUCUGUUGAAAGACAACCAUCUGUUGAAGGACCAUCAUCUGCUGAAGGAGCAUCAUCUGCUGAAGGAGCAUCAAAUGUAGCCUUUACUGUUCCACAAGCUAAGUGUAGCUGUUUUCAAAGUCAUACUUUAUACGAAUCCUUGACUAUGCAUCGCCCAUUGUUCUUAAAACGAUGUGCAUUGCGACAAACGAAGAUAAAAACAAGUGUGACACAUUCUUCUGUGCCUUCUACUAUUUCUGUAAAAAGCCCCCGAUCCAUUUUAAAGCAUGAGUCCAAGUUAGAGCAAAAAAAGACGAGAAUACCAAUUAAGGUUGUAACUAUCUCUGAGAAGAUUCAAAAAUCUGAGGUUGAUGAAAGUGAUGAAUUAAAACCAAUGAAGACAGGAAAGAAAACAUAGGUGAGAACACAUUAUGCAGUGGUCGACCAAGUUGCCAUUAAAUACUAUGAAAUAGUUUGAAAAGAAGUAGAUUCAUAGGAAGAACUUAUAUUUCUGAAAAGAAAAAAAAGCAAGACAGGGAGGAUGAGUAUAAAAAGAAUAGAGAAAAGGGGAAAUUAUUCUCUAAAAAAUUGGCAAAAGCUGCUGCACGCGGCAAAGUAAAUUAUCGGGUAAAUGAGCGAGUCGUUCAUUUUGACUGAUUAUACUAUCAUUAGUGAAAACUGGAGCUUAUAUUAAAUAUAUAUAUACUUUUUAGACAUUUUUACACUUUCUACACUUUCUUUUAUAUUAUGACUUUUUUAUCACUCGUCACUGAGUGUCUUAACCAGUGAA